rnacentral:lncRNA from 1 species
AGGACAGAUACAUUUAAAUCUCCUUAACAGAAGGAUGUUAACUGUAGGAGAGAUCUAUCCUGGGAAUACAUAGUACUUUAAGAUAUGCUCAACAAGAAUAUAUUAAGCAACAACUAAGUGUGAAGCAUGUGGAUGGACAGAGCUUCUGAUUACAGGCCAAGCGUGUUCAAAUCUUGCAAAGGUGUAAAUGAGGACAGCCUAAGGCAGACAAUGAAGGGCUUGCCAGACCAAGAAACCUGUAUUUUGCCAACCUGUUCAGGAUUUGAUUACUUUUAAAAGCCCAAGCUACAAAUAAAAACUUCAACAAUCUCUGUGUAAUGAAAAAG